rnacentral:rRNA from 1 species
AGGGCGCACGGUGGAUGCCUUGGCACUAGAAGCCGAUGAAGGACGUGACUAACAACGAAAUGCUUUGGGGAGCUGUAAGUGAGCAAUGAUCCAGAGAUGUCCGAAUGGGGGAACCCGGCAGGUAAUGCCUGUCACUCAUUACUGUUAAGGUAAAUGUAGAGGAAGACGCAGUGAACUGAAACAUCUAAGUAGCUGCAGGAAGAGAAAGCAAAAAGCGAUUGCCUUAGUAGCGGCGAGCGAAACGGCAAGAGGGCAAACCGAAGAGUUUACUCUCGGGGUUGUAGGACUGCAACGUGGACUUAAAGAUUAUAGAAGAACUACCUGGGAAGGUAGGCCAAAGGGAGUAAUAGCCUCGUAUUCGAAAUAGUCUUUAUACCUAGCAGUAUCCUGAGUACGGCGAGACACGAGAAAUCUCGUCGGAAUCUGGGAGGACCAUCUCCCAACCCUAAAUACUCUCUAGUGACCGAUAGUGAACCAGUACCGUGAGGGAAAGGUGAAAAGCACCCCGGGAGGGGAGUGAAAUAGAACCUGAAACCGUGUGCCUACAACAAGUUCAAGCCCGUUAAUGGGUGAGAGCGUGCCUUUUGUAGAAUGAACCGGCGAGUUACGAUAUGAUGCGAGGUUAAGUGAAGAAACGGAGCCGUAGGGAAACCGAGUCUUAAUAGGGCGCAUUAGUAUCAUGUCGUAGACCCGAAACCAUGUGACCUACCCAUGAGCAGGUUGAAGGUGAGGUAAAACUCACUGGAGGACCGAACCAGGGCACGUUGAAAAGUGCUUGGAUGACUUGUGGGUAGCGGAGAAAUUCCAAACGAACUUGGAGAUAGCUGGUUCUCUCCGAAAUAGCUUUAGGGCUAGCGUCGAUGUUAAGUCUCUUGGAGGUAGAGCACUGUUUGGGUGAGGGGUCCAUCCCGGAUUACCAAUCUCAGAUAAACUCCGAAUGCCAAUGAGAUAUAAUCGGCAGUCAGACUGCGAGUGCUAAGAUCCGUAGUCGAAAGGGAAACAGCCCAGACCACCAGCUAAGGUCCCAAAAUAUAUGUUAAGUGGAAAAGGAUGUGGGGUUGCACAGACAACUAGGAUGUUAGCUUAGAAGCAGCUAUUCAUUCAAAGAGUGCGUAAUAGCUCACUAGUCGAGUGACCCUGCGCCGAAAAUGUACCGGGGCUAAAACAUAUUACCGAAGCUGUGGAUACCUUUAUAGGUAUGGUAGGAGAGCGUUCUAUGUGCGAAGAAGGUGUACCGUGAGGAGUGCUGGAGCGCAUAGAAGUGAGAAUGCCGGUAUGAGUAGCGAAAGACAGGUGAGAAUCCUGUCCACCGUAAGACUAAGGUUUCCAGGGGAAGGCUCGUCCGCCCUGGGUUAGUCGGGACCUAAGGAGAGACCGAAAGGUGUAUCCGAUGGACAACAGGUUGAUAUUCCUGUACUAGAAUAUAUAGUGAUGGAGGGACGCAGUAGGCUAACUAAACCAGACGAUUGGAAGUGUCUGGCCAAGCAGUGAGGUGUGAUAUGAGUCAAAUGCUUAUAUCUCUAACAUUGAGCUGUGAUGGGGAGCGAAGUUUAGUAGCGAAGUUAGUGAUGUCACACUGCCGAGAAAAGCUUCUAGCGUUAAUUAUACUCUACCCGUACCGCAAACCGACACAGGUAGUCGAGGCGAGUAGCCUCAGGUGAGCGAGAGAACUCUCGUUAAGGAACUCGGCAAAAUGGCCCCGUAACUUCGGGAGAAGGGGCGCUGACUGAUGGUCAGCCGCAGUGAAUAGGCCCAAGCAACUGUUUAUCAAAAACACAGCUCUCUGCUAAAUCGUAAGAUGAUGUAUAGGGGGUGACGCCUGCCCGGUGCUGGAAGGUUAAGAGGAGUGCUUAGCGUAAGCGAAGGUAUGAAUUGAAGCCCCAGUAAACGGCGGCCGUAACUAUAACGGUCCUAAGGUAGCGAAAUUCCUUGUCGGGUAAGUUCCGACCCGCACGAAAGGCGUAAUGAUUUGGGCACUGUCUCAACGAGAGACUCGGUGAAAUUUUAGUACCUGUGAAGAUGCAGGUUACCCGCGACAGGACGGAAAGACCCCAUGGAGCUUUACUGCAGUUUGAUAUUGAGUAUCUGUACCACAUGUACAGGAUAGGUAGGAGCCUAUGACCUCGGGACGCCAGUUUCGAGUGAGGCGUUGUUGGGAUACUACCCUUGUGUUAUGGCUACUCUAACCCAGAUAGGUUAUCCCUAUCGGAGACAGUGUCUGACGGGCAGUUUGACUGGGGCGGUCGCCUCCUAAAAGGUAACGGAGGCGCCCAAAGGUUCCCUCAGAAUGGUUGGAAAUCAUUCGCAGAGUGUAAAGGUAUAAGGGAGCUUGACUGCGAGAGCUACAACUCGAGCAGGGACGAAAGUCGGGCUUAGUGAUCCGGUGGUUCCGUAUGGAAGGGCCAUCGCUCAACGGAUAAAAGCUACCCUGG